rnacentral:rRNA from 1 species
UGGCGAACGGGUGAGUAACACGUGAGUGAUCUGCCCUCAACUUCGGGAUAAGCCUGGGAAACUGGGUCUAAUACUGGAUAGGACCAUCCUUUAGUGUGUGAUGGUGGAAAGUUUUUUCGGUUUGGGGAUGAGCUCGCGGCCUAUCAGCUUGUUGGUGGGGUAAUGGCCUACCAAGGCGUCGACGGGUAGCCGGCCUGAGAGGGUGUACGGCCACAUUGGGACUGAGACACGGCCCAGACUCCUACGGGAGGCAGCAUG